UACGAAGGGUGCAAACGUUGCUCGGAAUUACUGGGCGUAAAGGGCGCGUAGGCGGCCUUCUAAGUCGAACGUGAAAUCCCUGGGCUCAACCCAGGAACUGCGUCCGAUACUGGCAGGCUCGAAUCCGGGAGAGGGAUGCGGAAUUCCAGGUGUAGCGGUGAAAUGCGUAGAUAUCUGGAGGAACACCGGUGGCGAAGGCGGCAUCCUGGACCGGCAUUGACGCUGAGGCGCGAAAGCCAGGGGAGCAAACGGG
rnacentral:rRNA from 1 species